GCCUUAGCGAGGCCAUGGGGGAAAAAGUCUAACUGGCGGAACUCCUGGGAACUGGGGCGAUGGGCUCUUAGUAUCGGAGGAUUGGAGCCAUCUGAUUUUUACCUGAAAUUCCUUAGUCUCUCCUGUGUUGGGGAAAUGGUCACCUUGCCUUCAGGGACCUGGGCUUUCAGCUGUCCAUACCUGGCCCUGGUUGAUGGCGGCAUGCUGGGCAGUGCACGUGAAGACGCACAUGGACUGCACCAAGGGGCAAUGCAGUACUGCAGCCUUCCUCUGACUCAGUUUGGAUUCUCUCUGUCCGUUCUCACCACACUACUAAGGAGAGAACAGUGCCAGGCAGGGGAAGGAGAGGUACCUGAAGUUCUUUCUCCAGUUGAGCCUGAAGCUCUUCCAUCCCCGAGGGCAGCACUAGCCUGGAGGGCAGAGAGGUCGAGCGUCUCAACAGCAUGGGGUUGGCACCAUUGAGGAACUGGUAGCUGAACA
rnacentral:lncRNA from 1 species